rnacentral:rRNA from 1 species
AACGAACGCUGGCGGCAGGCCUAACACAUGCAAGUCGAACGAAGUCUUCGGACUUAGUGGCGCACGGGUGAGUAACACGUGGGAAUAUACCUUACGCUGGGGGAUAACAUCGGGAAACUGAUGCUAAUACCGCAUACGCCCUACGGGGGAAAGAUUUAUCGGCGAAAGAUUAGCCCGCGUCCGAUUAGCUAGUUGGUGAGGUAAUGGCUCACCAAGGCUCCGAUCGGUAGCUGGUCUGAGAGGAUGACCAGCCACACUGGGACUGAGACACGGCCCAGACUCCUACGGGAGGCAGCAGUGGGGAAUAUUGGACAAUGGGCGCAAGCCUGAUCCAGCCAUGCCGCGUGAGUGAUGAAGGCCUUAGGGUUGUAAAGCUCUUUCACCCACGACGAUGAUGACGGUAGUGGGAGAAGAAGCCCCGGCUAACUUCGUG